UUUUGAGUCACCUAGAUAUCUUGUGAAAGUGCAGAUUUUGAUUCAGUAGGUCAGGGGUGGGAGCCUGCAUUUCUAACAGGCCCCCAGGUGGGUCCUCA
rnacentral:pre_miRNA from 1 species